CGACCCCACAGGGAAAUCGAACCCUGAUUUCCUGGUUGACAACCAGAUGUAAUGACCUUUAUACCAUGGAGCC
rnacentral:tRNA from 1 species